CCCAGACUCCUACGGGAGGCAGCAGUGGGGGAUAUUGCACAAUGGGGGAAACCCUGAUGCAGCGACGCCGCGUGUGGGAAGACGGUCUUCUGGAUUGUAAACCACUGUCCCCAGGGACGAAAAUGACGGUACCUGGGGAGGAAGCUCCGGCUAACUACGUGCCAGCAGCCGCGGUAAUACGUAGGGGGCAAGCGUUAUCCGGAUUUACUGGGUGUAAAGGGAGCGUAGACGGCCAGACAAGUCUGAAGUGAAAAUCCAGCGCUUAACGUUGGAAGCGCUUUGGAAACUGCCGGGCUGGAGUGCAGGAGGGGCAGGCGGAAUUCCUAGUGUAGCGGUGAAAUGCGUAGAUAUUAGGAGGAACACCAGUGGCGAAGGCGGCCUGCUGGACUGCAACUGACGUUGAGGCUCGAAGGCGUGGGGAGCAAACAGGAUUAGAUACCCUAGUACUG
rnacentral:rRNA from 1 species